AGUGGGGAAUAUUGGACAAUGGGCGAAAGCCUGACGCAGCCAUGCCGCGUGAAUGAUGAAGGUCUUAGGAUUGUAAAAUUCUUUCACCGGGGACGAUAAUGACGGUACCCGGAGAAGAAGCUCCGGCUAACUUCGUGCCAGCAGCCGCGGUAAUACGAAGGGGGCUAGCGUUGCUCGGAAUUACUGGGCGUAAAGGGCGCGUAGGCGGACAGUUUAGUCAGAGGUGAAAGCCCAGGGCUCAACCUUGGAAUAGCCUUUGAUACUGACUGUCUUGAGUACGGGAGAGGUGUGUGGAACUCCGAGUGUAGAGGUGAAAUUCGUAGAUAUUCGGAAGAACACCAGUGGCGAAGGCGACACACUGGCCCGUUACUGACGCUGAGGCGCGAAAGCGUGGGGAGCAAACAGGAUUAGAUACCCUGGUAGUCCACGCUGUAAACGAUGAGUGCUAGUUGUCGGCAUGCAUGCAUGUCGGUGACGCAGCUAACGCAUUAAGCACUCCGCCUGGGGCGUACGGUCGCAAGAUUA
rnacentral:rRNA from 1 species